AGUGAACGCUGGCGGUAGGCCUAACACAUGCAAGUCGAACGGCAGCACAGGAGAGCUUGCUCUCUGGGUGGCGAGUGGCGGACGGGUGAGGAAUACAUCGGACUCUACUCUGCCGUGGGGGAUAACGUAGGGAAACUUACGCUAAUACCGCAUACGACCUACGGGUGAAAGCAGGGGAUCUUCGGACCUUGCGCGAUUGAAUGAGCCGAUGUCGGAUUAGCUAGUUGGCGGGGUAAAGGCCCACCAAGGCGACGAUCCGUAGCUGGUCUGAUAGGAUGAUCAGCCACACUGGAACUGGAACACGGGCCAGACUCCGAUGGGAGGCGGCAGUGGGGAAUAUUGGACAAUGGGCGCAAGCCUGAUCCAGCCAUACCGCGGGGGUGAAGAAGGCCUUCGGGUUGUAAAGCCCUUUUGUUGGGAAAGAAAUCCAGCUGGCUAAUACCCGGUUGGGAUGACGGUACCCAAAGAAUAAGCACCGGCGAACUUCGUGCCAGCCGCCGCCGUAA
rnacentral:rRNA from 1 species